rnacentral:rRNA from 1 species
CCUACGGGAGGCAGCAGUAGGGAAUCUUUCACAAUGGGCGAAAGCCUGAUGGAGCAACGCCGCGUGCAGGAUGAAGGCCUUCGGGUUGUAAACUGCUUUUAUAAGCGAGAAAUAUGAUGGUAACUUAUGAAUAAGGAUCGGCUAACUACGUGCCAGCAGCCGCGGUCAUACGUAGGAUCCGAGCAUUAUCCGGAGUGACUGGGUGUAAAGAGUUGCGUAGGUGGCAUAAUAAGUAGCUAGUGAAAUCUGGUGGCUCAACCAUUCAGACUAUUAGCUAAACUGUUAAGCUCGAGACCGUUAGGGGUAACUGGAAUUUCUAGUGUAGGAGUGAAAUCCGUAGAUAUUAGAAGGAACACCAAUAGCGUAGGCAGGUUGCUGGGACGGUUCUGACACUAAGGCACGAAAGCGUAGGGAGCAAACGGGAUUAGAUACCCCUGUAGUA